GGCACCAUAUUGGCAUGAGAAGAUGCAGAUUUUGUUUAUUUUCAAUUGAUUUUUAUUUCAUUCAUUCAGGAAAAUAAACAAAAUCUGUGUCUUCAUAAGCAAAUAUGGUCCAAUGACUUGGACAGACAGGGGAGCCAACAUAACGCCAUAAGUACUAUUUCCAUACUAUUUUAAUUUUCACAUCAAUAAAAUGGCUGAAUGGCGGAACAGCAUCUAAAGUACACAGGGACCAAAGAGUAUAAAUGACAGGGACCGUGAAUAAUUAGAAUAUUUGACUUCUCAAAGCAAGACUUCAAGUAUUUAGCAUCCAAAAUGGAAGUGAAUAUAGAAUCACAACCAGAGUAUGACACUGCACUUAACGUAAGAUAGAGGGACUAUGGACAAAGUAACCUAGAAGAAAAACAAAAAUAUGAAGCCAUACAAGUAAUUGUAAAAGGAUGACUCCAAGAACCAGCGGCAUUGUGUGUAUAUGCUUUGUACGGUGAUAUUAUUAUCCUGUAUUGUCGUGCUAGAGAUUACAGACUCCAAGUCCGACUACACAAGUAGUAACAGACAUGUUUGCUUGGAGCGUGUGGUUUUUAAGUGGGUUGUAGUACCCAUACCAAUCGCAAGUUUAGCAAAAGCAUCAGCAGUCUCCUUGCCACAGAUACUGGAGUGACCUGGAAUGCAAGCCAAGUUAACAUUCAUGCCUUACUGUUGGCAUGCAUAUUGUAACUCACUGAUCCUUAAGGCAAUAGAAACUCUCACCUUACUUAUGGAAAGGGUUUUCCUUGAGUGCUUGUAAGAAGCUUAAGGAGUCUGUUAGUAUUAUAACUUUGUGUAUGUUAUUGGCUUCAAGUUCAACAAAAAGGAUUGCUUCUAAAAUGCCAAUAGACUCCUAUGAAUACUGAAGAUUGGGGGACACUUGAAUUGAAUACUUAUUUUGAAUUUAGGAAUCCAGCAUGCUACACCAACAGAACCGUUCUGAGAUAAUUUUGGGGAAAUCUGGCCAGUUGCUUUGAAUAAUUUCAUCAAAUUUAUGAUGAGCUUCCACUGUAUCCUUGUGAAUGCCAAAAUUAACUAUUGGGACCUUACAAGUCACUUUUAUAUGGGGUAGAAAAAAGGGGAAGUCUGGGCGAUGAGUUAAUAAGAUGAGGCAGGGAUUGUACAACCACAAGAAGGAUUACAUUAAAGAAUAAAAAACACAGACAGGGAAGAUACAAAAGGCGGCCUUAUCGCUAGCGAUCUCUACCAGGCAACCUUAAAGAUUGGAAAGUAUAAGGAAAAUUAGACUGCAGGUGGUGUGUAAUAUACUAAUAAACAUACAUUCAAAUAACUGAUACAUACUAAUACAUAAACCACUAAUACAUGUAUUAAAUAAUAUGUAUAAUACCAAUAUACUAAUAAAAUAGAUUAAUAUAUACUCUAUAAUCAUACUUAAGGAGAAACUAAAAUAUGAUUGUCGUCUUCAAUUUGUAAGAUAAUGCUUUUUCACUGCAGUUUUAAAGGAGUCUAGUGACUUUGAUUUGCGUAUGGUCAAUGGUAGUGCAUUCCAAAGUUCAACAGCUCGCACAGUGAAUGAGUUGCCAUAGAACUUCGUUUUGUGACUCAGCGUUCCUAAUAUUAAGGUUCGGCAGGAUCUUGUCGGUUUGCACUCCAAGAAAACUAAACUUCUCCUUGAGGUAAGGGGGAGUUUUUAAGUGAUAUAGCACACAGUACAGAA